GACGACGCUGGCGGCGUGGAUUAGGCAUGCAAGUCGAACGGUAUCAUCCUUCGGGGGUGAGAGAGUGGCGAACUGGUGAGUAACACGUAGGUUAUCUACCCUCAAGACGGGGACAACCCAGGGAAACUUGGGCUAAUACCGGAUGUGAGCAACUUUUAGUUGUUUGAAAGGUGGCGUAAGCUGUCGCUUGGGGAUGAGCCUGCGUCCUAUUAGUUAGUUGGUGAGGUAACGGCUCACCUAGGCAAUGAUAGGUAGGCGGCCUUAACGGGUAGGUCGCCCACACUGGGAUUGAGAUACGGCCCAGACUCCUACGGGAGGCAGCAGUCGAGAAUAGUCUACAAUGGUCGGAAGACUGAUAGUGCGACGCCGCGUGAACGAUGAAUCCCUUCGGGGUGUAAGGUUCUUUUAUAUGUGAGCAGUGCUUCUUAUAUUAACAGUAUGGGGAGAGAGAUAUUAGCAUAUGAAUAAGCAACGGCUAACUCCGUG
rnacentral:rRNA from 1 species